rnacentral:rRNA from 1 species
GACGAACGCUGGCGGCGUGCUUAACACAUGCAAGUCGUACGGUAAGGCCCUUUCGGGGGUACACGCGUGGCGCACGGGCGAGUAACACGUGAGUAACUUGCCCACAACUUUGGGAUAACGCUAGGAAACUGGUGCUAAUACUGGAUAUGUGCUCCUGCUGCCUGGUGGGGGUUGGAAAGCUACGGCGGUUGUGGAUGGACUCGCGGCCUAUUAGUUUGUUGGUGGGGUAGUGGCCUACCAAGGAGGCGACGGGCAGCCGGCCUGAGAGGGUGAGCGGCCACAUUGGGACUGAGAUACGGCCCAGACUCCUACGGGAGGCAGCAGGGGGGAAUAUUGCACAAUGGGCGCAAGCCUGAUUCAGCAACGCCGCGUGCGGGAUGACGGCCUUCGGGCUGUAAACCGCUUUCAGCAGGGACGAAGCUUUUUGUGACGGUACCUGCAGAAGAAGCACCGGCUAACUACGUG